rnacentral:rRNA from 1 species
GCUCCUAGUACGAGAGGACCGGAGUGGACGAACCUCUGGUGUUCCGGUUGUCACGCCAGUGGCAUUGCCGGGUAGCUAUGUUCGGAAGCGAUAACCGCUGAAAGCAUCUAAGCGGGAAGCGCGCCUCAAGAUGAGAUCUCCCGGGGCACAAGCCCCCUGAAGGAACCAUGUAGACUACGUGGUUGAUAGGUCAGGUGUGUAAGUACAGCAAUGUAUUGAGCUAACUGAUACUAAUGAUCCGUGCGGCUUGACCAU